UGCUCCAUAAAUAAAACGUCCCACCGCUUUGAGUGAGAGCUAUAAAGGCAGCAGAAAAACUGUCCCCAGGCAUUCUGGUCGGGCAGAACUCCGGAGCCCAAACAGGUGGCCGGCCGCAGGGACAGUUUGUUGCCAGCGCCGAGGACUGCGGGACGCGGACCGGCUUUCCGAAGUCGCUGCCACAGGUGGCACCCGAGGCUGCUCCCAGGUGCCCGCCGCGGGCCGUUUGCUCGCUCCGCGUUUCCGAACGUCAUCCCUCGUCGCAUCCCCUCCAGGCCGGCGGUCCUCGGGUACGCAGGCCAUGGCAGCGCGGGGCGGCAGGUCGGAGCCGCCGCAGCUCGCCGAGUACAGCUGCAGUUACACGGUGUCGCGGCCGGUGUACAGCGAGCUCGCCUUCCAGCAGCAGCGCGAGCGGCGCCUGCCUGAGCGCAGGACGCUGCGGGACAGCCUGGCGCGGAGCUGCAGUUGCUCAAGAAAGAGAGCCUUUGGUGUGGUAAAGACUCUCCUGCCCAUUCUGGACUGGCUCCCAAAAUACCGAGUCAAGGAAUGGCUCCUCAGUGACAUCAUCUCCGGAGUUAGCACUGGGCUGGUGGGUACCCUGCAAGGGAUGGCUUAUGCCCUGCUGGCAGCAGUACCUGUUCAGUUCGGUCUCUACUCUGCCUUUUUCCCUAUCCUGACGUAUUUUGUGUUCGGAACAUCAAGACACAUCUCAGUUGGCCCUUUCCCCGUGGUCAGUUUAAUGGUGGGAUCUGUUGUUCUGAGCAUGGCUCCAGAUGACCACUUUCUUGUGCCCAGCGGUAACGGAAGUGCAUUGAACUCGACCACGUUAGACACUGGAACCAGAGAUGCGGCCCGAGUGUUGCUUGCAAGCACACUCACUCUUCUAGUUGGAAUCAUACAGCUGGUGUUUGGAGGUUUGCAGAUUGGAUUCAUAGUGAGGUACUUGGCAGACCCCUUGGUUGGCGGAUUCACAACCGCUGCAGCCUUCCAAGUACUGGUCUCACAGCUAAAGAUCGUGCUCAAUGUUUCAACCAAAAACUACAACGGCAUCCUCUCCAUUAUCUACACACUAAUUGAGAUUUUUCAAAAUAUCGGUGACACCAAUAUUGCCGAUUUCAUCGCUGGGCUGCUGACCAUCAUCGUCUGUAUGGCUGUUAAGGAACUAAAUGAUCGAUUUAAACACAGAAUCCCGGUGCCCAUUCCUAUAGAAGUGAUUGUGACAAUAAUUGCUACUGCCAUUUCCUAUGGGGCCAACUUGGAAAAGAACUACAAUGCUGGCAUUGUUAAGUCCAUCCCAAGUGGGUUCUUGCCUCCUGUCCUGCCAUCUGUGGGCCUGUUUUCGGACAUGUUGGCUGCAUCCUUUUCCAUUGCUGUGGUGGCUUACGCUAUUGCAGUGUCUGUAGGAAAAGUCUACGCCACCAAGCAUGACUAUGUCAUCGAUGGGAACCAGGAAUUCAUUGCCUUUGGGAUAAGCAACGUCUUCUCUGGAUUUUUCUCCUGUUUUGUGGCUACCACUGCUCUGUCUCGAACGGCUGUCCAGGAGAGCACCGGGGGGAAGACACAGGUGGCUGGCCUCAUCUCAGCUGUGAUUGUGAUGGUUGCCAUCGUUGCCUUGGGGAGGCUUCUGGAACCCUUGCAGAAGUCAGUCUUGGCGGCCGUUGUCAUUGCCAACCUGAAAGGGAUGUUUAUGCAGGUGUGUGACGUUCCUCGUCUGUGGAAGCAGAAUAAGACUGAUGCUGUUAUCUGGGUGUUUACAUGCAUAAUGUCCAUCAUUCUGGGGCUGGACCUCGGCUUGCUAGCUGGCCUUUUAUUUGCACUACUGACUGUGGUCCUGAGAGUUCAGUUCCCUUCAUGGAAUGGCCUUGGAAGUGUCCCCAGCACAGACAUCUACAAAAGCAUCACACAUUAUAAAAACCUUGAAGAGCCUGAAGGGGUGAAGAUCCUGAGAUUUUCCAGUCCCAUUUUUUACGGCAAUGUCGAUGGUUUUAAAAAAUGUAUCAAUUCAACGGUUGGAUUUGAUGCCAUUAGAGUAUAUAAUAAGAGGCUGAAAGCACUGAGAAGAAUACAGAAACUCAUCAAAAAAGGACAACUCAGGGCAACCAAGAACGGGAUCAUAAGUGAUAUUGGCUCAUCAAAUAAUGCCUUCGAGCCUGAUGAAGAUGUGGAAGAGCCAGAGGAACUUAAUAUCCCAACCAAAGAAAUUGAGAUUCAAGUGGACUGGAACUCCGAACUCCCGGUGAAAGUGAAUGUCCCAAAGGUGCCAAUCCACAGCCUGGUGCUGGAUUGCGGAGCUGUAUCCUUCCUGGAUGUGGUAGGAGUGAGGUCAUUGCGAAUGAUUGUCAAAGAAUUUCAGAGAAUUGAUGUGAAUGUGUACUUUGCUCUGCUUCAAGAUGAUGUGUUAGAAAAGAUGGAGCAGUGUGGGUUCUUUGAUGACAACAUUAGAAAGGACAGAUUCUUUCUGACGGUUCAUGAUGCAAUCCUCCAUCUGCAGAACCAGGUCAAAUCCAGAGAAGGCCAGGAUUCCCUGCUAGAGACGGUAAACAUUUCACCUAACUCUAGUCUGAAACCCAGCUUAACCUCUGGCUUUCCGCCAGCUGUUGAAUGUCAAAGAGACCGUUUCUCCUCAGUGAAAUGAGGAUAGACACCGAUGACUGCUCAGAAGCCUCCAGGACUAAGGUCGCUCGCAUUCGGGACUGUAAAGACCCUCUUGAUCUGAUGGAGGCAGAGAUGAAUGCAGAAGAGCUCGAUGUUCAGGAUGAGGCCAUGCGUAGACUUGCUUCCUGAGAGAGGACUGCUAGACAGAACCUGGCUGUCAGCCCAGUCUCUGCAAGUGUUUUCUGCACUGACUGUUUCUUUGCACUUCAGCAGCCAUCCGCUUACUGUUACGUUGAAAUAUAAUACAGUCUGAAGCUUCUUAGGCACCACACAAGAAACACUUGUUGUUUCUGAUGCUUUAAUGCAGAAACAAGCAGCUUAGCUGCAAAAUAUCCAAAACCAGGAGAAUUAGCCCUGAGAAUUAGCAAUGUUCGGAUGUGCUGCAGUGACUCACUAUGUGCUGCUGUGACACACUGUGUGCUGGAUGCCAAAGCAGGUUUGCUGUCUGAGCCCAUAAGGGUUCCAUCUGUCUCUGUUAGGCUGGCCCAACAGCUUCUAUGGGCAGGUGAGUUAGGAAGGACUAAUCACAGAGAUUCCUGACUGACUCUGAAAUCCAUGUGUUGUGUUGACCACAGUGAGAAGAAGGAUAAGGUAGAAUUACUGUGUACUCAUUAAUGAACUUUAAAGAAAAUAAAACCAAUCUUUUAAAAAUGAUUUUA